UGUCACUCCAGUAUCCUUAUCUACAUUUAAAGUAUCCUUAUCUACAUCAUAUCCCACAUUCCAAGACAUAUUCCUAUUAAUGUCACAAUAUUUUUGUGACAAAAACUCGUAUUAAGGGACUUAAUAAUUUCAAAAAUGAAAGUAUAUUUUAUAUUGAAAGAAAAGGAGAAGAGUGCCUAUGAGAAUAAGUUAAAUUAGCAGAUACUAUGUCAGACAGAAGUCUUGGGAGGGGAAGGUAAAGAAACAACAGCCCACAGGUCUCCACACACACUCACACACAUCAGACCUGGGUGUCUUCCUGAUAUUUUGGGGGUUCCCAGAGUUGAAGAUGCUUUGGAUUCAUCUGGGUGGCAUUUGAGUCCAUCUGACUGAAUACAGAUUUUAGCAUUUUAACCUAGACCUACUGAAUCAGAACCUGAAGGGGUCAGAAAUUGACAUCUGGCAGUUCCACCAGGGACUGUGAUGCCAAUAGUUCAUGUAUCUGAAAGGAUACAGAAGAGGUCUCCCCAAAAUGUGCCACUUCGGCAUGUGGACUAUUUUAAGCUGAAGGCAAUCAAGACCUGGCAGGCUUAAGAGAAAUAUUUAUCCCUCCCUUUAACUACCUGAAGAAUCUAAAUUGGGGGACUUUCCCCAAAUUAGGAUUAUUAUUGGAGAGGAAUUUUAUCUGCGUGACCCAUCUGUACGGCAGAGAAAACUUUAAUUGGCAGACAUUCGCUCAACCUCCGAUUGCCCUGUGAAUUGCUCUGCUCCCCCAUUUGGAAGCUCCAGGCCUCGAACCCAUUCCUUAGCUCAGGAUAGUAGAUAUACCUCAUUUUGCCCUUCAGUUUUUGGACCUCUCACGUAUGAGGGGUUUCGGUACAUACACAAUUAAAUGUUAUUUUCUCCUAUUAAUCUGUCUCAUGUCGAUUGAAGGAGAAGAACCUCUGAAGGGUAGAAGAAAAUUCUUCUUCCCCAACAUACCAUAUAUCAAGAAACUGUAAGAACUGAAGCCCCAAGUGAGCAGUAGUUACACUUGCUGAUUCUUGCCUAUUCUUGCCCUCAUAUGCAUUGCUUUUCAAACUAGACACACAAGGGGAUAAUCAGUAUUUCUUAAAUGCACACUUGCAACUGCCUCCCAAUCAGGGAAACCAAGAAUUUAGUUCUUCAGCAACGAGGAAAGUAUGUGAAAUUCAUUUUCACGGGAGAAUACACUUUACCUCUUCAGUGCUAAACUGUAAUAGGUUAUAAUGUAAAAUGAAAUGACAUUUGCCAUUUUCCUAUAAGUAACUUGAGGUUAUUUUCUUUUGGUAUCAAAUGAGUUACCAUUAAAAUGAAUCCUGACCAAACAAACUCUCCCAAAUAUCAGUUCCUUUCUAAUUGUGUAGAACAUUAUUUAAUUACCUGUCCCUGCAUAGCAUUUACCACAUAAUUAGGUAAGUAGUAAUUAUCCUUUAAGGAACCAAUAACUAAGUGGAAUUGGUAUAUGGUAAAGGGAAUCACUGCCUUACUGGAUAAACAAAAAAAGGAGACCUUCAAUGAAGUCCUUAAAAUUAAGCCACUAAAGAACAUCUCAAAUGUCAUGGGUUUUAAAUUAUAUCACCUGAAUAAAGAAAAGGAACAAAGUCAAACAGAAAAUUUAGUGAAAUGGUGAUUCGUGUACUGUAUC
rnacentral:lncRNA from 1 species